ACCCUUGAACCAUAAGGUGACUCCCAAAGAUUCUCCACGGGCCACCUGUAAGUGCUGCUAAGUACUCUUCCUCCGCAUCAAAUCGAACCAUGAAGAACUGUCGCGGCAAAUCCAGCACAUACAUCCCCCGCUUGGUUUCCACAACUCUCGGAGCCGUCGUGUGAGAUUCACGAUAGAGAUACUCCUGCCCAACACCUUGACAAUCAUACAGUUUCUCCAUAGGCCAUGCAUAGCAUCAACGACCUCCUGCCCCACCGUUAUCAACGGCUCCCCAUCUUCACCAUCUGGAAACUCCAACGUUAGCCGUUCCUCCACAAAAGCCGCCGGCAAAACCCUC
rnacentral:lncRNA from 1 species